rnacentral:pre_miRNA from 1 species
GUAAUACUCCCUCCGUCUGAAAAUACUUGUCAUCAAAAUGACUAGAAGGGGAUGUAUCUAGAUGUAUAUUAGUUCUAGAUACAUUCUUUUUAUAUUCAUUUUGAUGACAAGUAUUUUCGGACGGAGGGAGUAUCUU